rnacentral:snRNA from 1 species
GUGCUUGCUUCGGCGGCACAUAUACUAAAAUUGGAAUGAUACAGACAAGAUUAGCAUGGCCCCUGUGCAAGGAUGACAUGCAAAUUCGUGAAGCGUUCCAUAUUUUU